rnacentral:lncRNA from 1 species
GCCCGGCCACAGUGGGUUUUAUUUAACAGUUAACUGGCUCAUGCUUUAGGGGAGGCAGAAUAGUUGAAAGAACCAGCUAGGAAUCAGAAGACUUGGUCUGUAAUUAUGACUUGCCUGAAACUCUAAGUGACCUUUGGAAAGCCACGAAACCUUUACUGUCUUUUUUCUUACAGGACAAUCAUGAGAGAUUGAUCUCUAAGUCUGAAAUUGGCACUCCAGUGUUUUCUGAAUGAAAACACACAGUAAAUUCUUUGAUUCGGGAGUAAAAACUACUCCAAAACUCCACAAGAGGGCAGCUCCUCCACACCUGAAUGGCCUCAGAGACCUUCCAGGCACCUUUGAGGUUGUUUUCUGAGACUUUGAAAACACAACUUCUGCAACUAAUUUUUUCAAUCUGCAUAUAAUUUGAACAUCAUUAAUAUCUAUUAUUCAAAGAAUGCUGCAUUGAAUAUUUCAGUACUGUACUUUCAAAAAAGUGAAGAGCCUCACAAGACUUCAUGGGAUAAGACACAAACACCUGCAAAGCUGACUCAUGAAAGGAGACAAGGCACUACUAUGACAGUGGAUUGUGGGAGCUGUGAGUUCAGAAAGACCCCUGUGUGAGGAGCACACGUGUGACCUUCUGGAGCGUCUGGGCACUCCUCUCUGCUACAGAACUACAAAUGCUGUUUGGAGACCAGGAGCAGGGAUAUCCACGGAAUCUGAAAGUGCUUCUCUCCUUCCGUCCUCUCAACCUUCCAUCACUGCACUGCUGUGGCUAAAAGGAGACCAAAAGACUGACACCAGGUGGCAAAGGGAAUCUAAGAGAUGCAGCAGGCAGUGCCCCAGCCCUCUCAGUAAUUAGCAGUGCACAGAAGGGAGCAGAGGAAAAAAGCAGUAUAAUAAGAGAGGGAAGGAUCAGCUUCCAAAUGCUUGAACACCUAUGUUUCCAAGCCACGUAUUGAGGAAUUCAUCUCUUGGCCUCUCCACUCCAACCUGAAUCUCUCUGAUUGCUGUAUUCAGCUGUCCCAGCUGGAGAAACCACACUGAACUCUUCAAGGGCAAAAGCCAAGGUUUGACUUUGCUCCCUCUGAUCCCUGCUAGUGUACCUAGCAGCGUGCUGAGCACAUAACAACUGCCCACAGGAUGAGAUGGUAAACUGGAGAACUUGCUUGGCAAUCACAAGAAAACAGGGCAGUGGUGGUGAGAUCUGGGAUGCGUGCUUUCAAGGUGAUGGCAUCAUGGAGGGAAACCACCUUUUUCCUGUGCUUGCUUCCUUGCAUUUGUCACCCCUUCCUUUUUCCCUCCACAUCCCCACAAGUCACACAGUGAGGAACCAGAAACACAGCAACUUUUGGCUUUUGGCACAGCGAGGCUGGGGUCCCCAGCUUCUCUCGGUCUCACUGAGUGUUGGACUUACAACAACGGUCCUGACAUCAAGAUAUUCUGCGGGAAAUCGGGUGAGAGGGUGGGAGGGGAGGGAGGAAUCACAAAUAAAGAUUUGGUUUUGUCCAUUAAGAGUUGAAAAGAAAGUUGUUCAUAGCCUCGGGCUUGCUUGUUGAUUUCAUGUGGCCAAGUGUCCCACUGGGGGAGUUUGCAGGCACAUGGACUUGAUUUUUUGCGGGGUCAUAGUUUCUUAACCUUCCUCCAGUUCAUUCCCUGCCUGCGUUCUCUUCUCUCAC